ensembl:ncRNA ZC250.11 ncRNA
AAACCAUUGUUAUUCAUCCGCGACCGUUUUGAAACACUUGAUGCAACGAAUGCAGAAGCUCUCUUUUCUUCAUGCUCACAUACAGAGCAACAGGCAAUGGUCAGUGUGCAAACAGAAUGCGGGUGGGGCAAGCAUGUGCUCUGGCUCUGUUCCUUCCAUCGGAUUGUCUGCUUUUUCAAGAGGUGUGAAAAGAAAAGAAAAUUGACAAUGGG